CGCAUAUCCGAGGGGUGUCCGGCAUGGGGCCGGGCUGAGAGUUACCCUUUGAACCUGAUCCGGGUCAUGCCGGCGCGAGGGACGGAGAAUAACUAUGGC
rnacentral:ncRNA from 2 species